rnacentral:rRNA from 1 species
AAUUUUACAACCUCUAUCCGCCCGGGGACUACAAGCAUCAGCUUGAAACCCAAAGGACUUGGCGGUGCUUUAGAUCCACCUAGAGGAGCCUGUUCUAGAACCGAUAACCCCCGUUCAACCUCACCCCUCUUUGUUAAUACCGCCUAUAUACCACCGUCGUCAGCUUACCCUGUGAGGGAUCAAUAGUAAGCUUAACUGGUACAACCCUAAACGUCAGGUCGAGGUGUAGCGUAUGGAGGGGGAAGAAAUGGGCUACAUUCGCUACAACAGCGAACACGAAUGAUGUCCUGAAACGUACAUCUGAAGGAGGAUUUAGCAGUAAGUAGAAAAUAGAGUGUUCUACUGAAAUUGGCCCUGAAGCGCGCACACAUCGCCCGUUACUCUCCCCAAGCCUAAUAAUACAAUUAAAUAAAAACUAAUAAUUGCAAAGGGGAGGCAAGUCGUAACAUAGUAAGUGUACCGGAAGUGCACUUGGAAAAG